UAUACAUGCAGUCGAGCGAACGGACGAGAAGCUUGCUUCUCUGAUGUUAGCGGCGGACGGGUGAGUAACACGUGGAUAACCUACCUAUAAGACUGGGAUAACUUCGGGAAACCGGAGCUAAUACCGGAUAAUAUUUUGAACCGCAUGGUUCAAAAGUGAAAGACGGUCUUGCUGUCACUUAUAGAUGGAUCCGCGCUGCAUUAGCUAGUUGGUAAGGUAACGGCUUACCAAGGCAACGAUGCAUAGCCGACCUGAGAGGGUGAUCGGCCACACUGGAACUGAGACACGGUCCAGACUCCUACGGGAGGCAGCAGUAGGGAAUCUUCCGCAAUGGGCGAAAGCCUGACGGAGCAACGCCGCGUGAGUGAUGAAGGUCUUCGGAUCGUAAAACUCUGUUAUUAGGGAAGAACAUAUGUGUAAGUAACUGUGCACAUCUUGACGGUACCUAAUCAGAAAGCCACGGCUAACUACGUGCCAGCAGCCGCGGUAAUACGUAGGUGGCAAGCGUUAUCCGGAAUUAUUGGGCGUAAAGCGCGCGUAGGCGGUUUUUUAAGUCUGAUGUGAAAGCCCACGGCUCAACCGUGGAGGGUCAUUGGAAACUGGAAAACUUGAGUGCAGAAGAGGAAAGUGGAAUUCCAUGUGUAGCGGUGAAAUGCGCAGAGAUAUGGAGGAACACCAGUGGCGAAGGCGACUUUCUGGUCUGUAACUGACGCUGAUGUGCGAAAGCGUGGGGAUCAAACAGGAUUAGAUACCCUGGUAGUCCACGCCGUAAACGAUGAGUGCUAAGUGUUAGGGGGUUUCCGCCCCUUAGUGCUGCAGCUAACGCAUUAAGCACUCCGCCUGGGGAGUACGACCGCAAGGUUGAAACUCAAAGGAAUUGACGGGGACCCGCACAAGCGGUGGAGCAUGUGGUUUAAUUCGAAGCAACGCGAAGAACCUUACCAAAUCUUGACAUCCUUUGACAACUCUAGAGAUAGAGCUUUCCCCUUCGGGGGACAAAGUGACAGGUGGUGCAUGGUUGUCGUCAGCUCGUGUCGUGAGAUGUUGGGUUAAGUCCCGCAACGAGCGCAACCCUUAAGCUUAGUUGCCAUCAUUAAGUUGGGCACUCUAAGUUGACUGCCGGUGACAAACCGGAGGAAGGUGGGGAUGACGUCAAAUCAUCAUGCCCCUUAUGAUUUGGGCUACACACGUGCUACAAUGGACAAUACAAAGGGCAGCGAAACCGCGAGGUCAAGCAAAUCCCAUAAAGUUGUUCUCAGUUCGGAUUGUAGUCUGCAACUCGACUACAUGAAGCUGGAAUCGCUAGUAAUCGUAGAUCAGCAUGCUACGGUGAAUACGUUCCCGGGUCUUGUACACACCGCCCGUCACACCACGAGAGUUUGUAACACCCGAAGCCGGUGGAGUAAC
rnacentral:rRNA from 1 species